UUAUAGCUCAGAUGGUUAGAGUGUGGGUCUAGUAAACCCAAGAUUGUAGGUUGGACUCCC
rnacentral:tRNA from 1 species